GGGGGCGACCGGUUUCGACGAGGACAAGGAGAAAAAGCUGGCCUGUCGAGCUCCCUGCACGCUCGCUAAUCUCGCGGGAUACAAUUCAAGUGCCAACGAUCACGUUGCACUGGCUGCCUAAUAAAAUAGCGUAGCCCGUCCCUCUCCGGCUUGCCCUUUGGCUGGAGAGCUGACGUCGACCAAAAGGGCUGGGCGGUCGGGUGUUCGGGACCGGCAGCCGAGGAGAACUCUCGAACUGGUCCGAGCUUGAGCCCGCCCGAGGCAUAAGUCCGGAUGAAUAAAAAAGAAGAAGGGCUAUACAGGUAGAGGGCUUUUUUGAAUUUCCUUCGGACGCGGGUUCGAUUCCCGCCGCCUCCACCA
rnacentral:tmRNA from 1 species